CCAAAAUCGAUGUGAAAAUGUACAUAUUAAUCAACAGGGGUCUGGUGAUAAACGUGAUCAAGAUGCCGAUGGAAGUUUCUUUGAGAACUUCACAGCAUUGUCUUGGAAACAGGAAAACAGACGACUUCAGUCAGGAAGAGAGGAUGAGUCAGGAACAGACCAAGCACCACCUAAAGAACCUGACCUCGGCGUUACAGCUCCAAAAUUUAAAAUU